AUUGAACGCUGGCGGCAUGCCUUACACAUGCAAGUCGAACGGUAACAGGUCUUCGGAUGCUGACGAGUGGCGAACGGGUGAGUAAUACAUCGGAACGUGCCUAGUAGUGGGGGAUAACUACUCGCAAGAGUGGCUAAUACCGCAUGAGAUCUACGGAUGAAAGCAGGGGAUCGCAAGACCUUGUGCUACUAGAGCGGCAGAUGGCAGAUUAGGUAGUUGGUGGGAUAAAAGCUUACCAAGCCGACGAUCUGGAGCUGGUCUGAGAGGACGAUCAGCCACACUGGGACUGAGGAACGGCCCAGCCUCCGACGGGAGGCAGCAGUGAGGAAUUUUGGACAAUGGGCGCAAGCCUGAUCCAGAAAUGCCGCGUGCAGGAUGAAGGCCUUCGGGUUGUAAACUGCUUUUGUACGGAACGAAAAGCCCCGGGUUAAUACCCUGGGGUCAUGACGGUACCGUAAGAAUAAGCACCGGCUAACUACGUGCCAGCAGCCGCAGGAA
rnacentral:rRNA from 1 species